rnacentral:rRNA from 1 species
UACGUAGGGUGCGAGCGUUGUCCGGAAUUAUUGGGCGUAAAGAGCUUGUAGGCGGUUUGUCGCGUCUGCCGUGAAAAUUCGAGGCUCAACCUCGAACUUGCGGUGGGUACGGGCAGACUAGAGUGUGGUAGGGGAGACUGGAAUUCCUGGUGUAGCGGUGAAAUGCGCAGAUAUCAGGAGGAACACCCGUAGCGAAGGCGGCACUCUGGGCCGGAACUGACGCUGAGGAGCGAAAGCAUGGGGAGCGAACAGG